AGUUUGGCGAGAGUUCAAAUUGAAGGUGCGGAUACACAAAAAUAUGUAUUGAGAAUAUGGCCAUUUAAACUAAAACCACAAGCACAGGUUCCAAUCAAAGCAAGGCAGUGUUGAGUUUCAGACACUGCAAAUCGAAUUUCGGGUUUAAAUACUUUUAACAUUCGGACACAUUCCCAACAAAAAUACACAAAAACGAGACCGGCAAUACCCAGCAUUCGUUUAAAGAAAACAAAACACUACAUCCUAUUGGCCAUAGUACGAUGUUAAAGCAUGAAUGUUUAUUAGGUAUGAAUCAUUUCAAACUAUAUUUUACAUUAGUGUCCUUAGAGAUAUGUCAAUUAAAAUAUGUCAUACAUUAGUGCAUGAAUGCUUUAAAAGGUUCAAUUAUAAGAAAUUCUACUUAUAAUUUGUACUAUAAAUGAGCAACACAACGAAUGAUAUCCGAACCUUUUUAGGAGUUUAGGGUGGACUGCUUCUAUAGAAAGGCACUAACCUAUGCUUAUUGUAAUCACCCAAGUAGGCAAGCAAGAGAGAAGCAAGAAGAGAAGCAAAGUAAGCAAGUAGCUUGCAAGAAUCAAGAAGUGAGUUUCACUCUAAGUGUGAGGGUGAGAAUCAAAUAAGAGUGUG
rnacentral:lncRNA from 1 species